CUGUCAAAGCUGACUGCCACACCACUACCUUAGCUACUACUGGGCCUGGACCACAUAUCCUGAUCCAGACCUCAGCAGCCAAAAAAUAAGAUUUAACACCUCAGAGGAGUUUCAACACAAAGGAGAAGAUUUGGGGUGGCUUAGAUCAGUCAAGAAUUCAGAAGGAGCAGUCAGGCUGGACAUGUCUUCUCAAGUUUCAUCAGUUGGCUUGAUGCAACAUCUCAUUUUCUGAACCAUAAACAUUACUGCACUUGCAAUAUAGGUCUGACUUGCACAUCCACCCCACACUAGGGUGUAAAACGUUCAAGACAGCAGGACA